rnacentral:lncRNA from 1 species
AAAUUAUCUCUCUUGACAAGAAUAAUAAAGUCAUUGUGGAAUAAAAGAACCAAAUUAAUUUUGGGUUCAAAGUUUUAUUUUCGUAGGUCAUGAUAUGUCUGUCUUGUUUUGGCUAUAUCUGGAGCUCUGAUACCAAAUGAUGAGUGCCACGAAGCCGUCGGAAGCAAAUUAAGAAUAAUGUUGAUGGAAAUGGUGAAAAGACUAAAAAUGAAGAAAUGGAAUGGAUAGACAGGGACGCCACACUUUCUAAUCCAAGAAAGUGAUAAGUCUAUGGAUGCGAGGAUCGCCACAAGAAAU